CAAUGCGACCCCAGGUCAGGC
rnacentral:rRNA from 2 species